rnacentral:rRNA from 1 species
UACGGAGGGGGCUAGCGUUGUUCGGAAUUACUGGGCGUAAAGCGCACGUAGGCGGCUUUGUAAGUUAGAGGUGAAAGCCCAGGGCUUAACCCUGGAAUUGCCUUUAAGACUGCAUCGCUAGAAUCGUGGAGAGGUGAGUGGAAUUCCGAGUGUAGAGGUGAAAUUCGUAGAUAUUGGGAAGAACACCGGUGGCGAAGGCGGCCAACUGGACCACAACUGACACUGAGGCGCGAAAGCGUGGGGAGCAAACAGG